rnacentral:rRNA from 1 species
CCUACGGGGGGCAGCAGUGAGGAAUAUUGGUCAAUGGACGAGAGUCUGAACCAGCCAAGUAGCGUGAAGGAUGACUGCCCUAUGGGUGGUAAACUUCUUUUAUAUGGGAAUAAAAUGUUCCACGUGUGGCAUUUUGUAUGUACCUUAUGAAUAACGAUCGGCUAACUCCGUGCCAGCAGCCGCGGUAAUACGGUGUGUCCGAGCGUUAUCCGGAUUUAUUGGGUUUAAAGGGUGCGUAGUUGGGUUGUUAAGUGAGUUGUGAAAUUUUGCGGCUCAACCGUGAAAUUGCAGUUGAAACUGGCAGGCUUGAGUACAGUAGAGGUGGGCGGAAUUCGUGGUGUAGCGGUGAAAUGCUUAGAUAUCACGAAGAACUCCGAUUGCGAAGGCAGCUCACUGGACUGCAACUGACACUGAGGCUCGAAAGUGUGGGUAUCAAACAGGAUUAGAUACCCGUGUAGUC